rnacentral:tRNA from 1 species
AACAGAUUAGCUCCCUCAGUGAGCACCUGCUUUCAGGGCAGGCAACUGCGGGUGAGAGUCCCGCAUCUGUCG